rnacentral:rRNA from 1 species
UACGAAGGGGGCUAGCGUUGCUCGGAAUCACUGGGCGUAAAGCGCACGUAGGCGGAUCUUUAAGUCAGGGGUGAAAUCCCACGGCUCAACCGUGGAAGUGCAUUCGAAACUGCAGGGCUAGAGUCCUGGAGAGGAAGGUGGAAUGCUUGGUGUAGAGGUGAAAUUCGUAGAUAUCAAGCGGAACACCGGUGGCGAAGGCGGCCUUCUGGACAGUGACUGACGCUGAGACGCGAAAGCGUGGGGAGCAAACAGG